rnacentral:tRNA from 3 species
GCGGGAGUGGCGGAACUGGCAGACGCGCCAGACUUAGGAUCUGGUGCCGCAAGGCGUGGAGGUUCGAGUCCUCUCUCCCGCACCA